GACGUAGGGUGCAAGCGUUGUCCGGAUUUACUGGGCGUAAAGAGCGCGUAGGCGGUCUUGUAAGUGUGAAGUGAAAUCUCCAGGGCUCAACCCGGAAACUGCUUUGCAUACUGCGAGACUAGAGGGAUGCAGAGGUUUGUGGAAUUCCUGGUGUAGCGGUGAAAUGCGUUGAUAUCAGGAGGAACACCCAUGGCGAAGGCAGCAAACUGGGCAUCAUCUGACGCUGAGGCGCGAAAGCGUGGGGAGCGAACAGG
rnacentral:rRNA from 1 species